GACGAACCGUGCGAACGUUAUUCGGAAUCACUGGGCUUAAAGCGCGUGUAGGCGGAUGGGAACGUCGGCUUCUGAAAGCCCCCGGCUCAACCGGGGAAGUGGGGCCGAAACGACCCGUCUCGAGGGACGUAGGGGAUCUGGAACUUCCGGUGGAGCGGUGAAAUGCGUUGAGAUCGGAAGGAACGCCCGUGGCGAAAGCGAGAUCCUGGACGUUUUCUGACGCUGAGACGCGAAAGCUAGGGGAGCAAACGGG
rnacentral:rRNA from 1 species